UCAAGAAACCUAGUACCAGUUUUCUAUUUAGACAGCGCGCAUGUAAGUUUUUUCCUUCACCCAAUAGGCCCGUUGCUUCCUGCAGUUGCCGCUUGAAGUGAGCUCCCUCGUGCGCGCCGCUCUCUCUCUCUCUCUCUCUGUUUCUUUCCCACCAGCGAGUAAAGAGAAGAGAACGAAGCAGAGAAGAGAAUACGUUGGAAGUCUACAUAUUCGAUGCCAAUGAAACCCCUGCCUUCUUCUUCCGCCAGAGUCCCCGUCAAGUUCAAGAUCCCGACGGCUGAUAAUCUGGUGCCGAUCCGACUGGACAUUGAAAUCGACGGGCAGCGUUACAGAGACGCUUUCACUUGGAACCCUUCAGAUCCUGAUUCGGAGGUGGUAGUGUUUGCGAAGAGAACGGUGAAAGACUUGAAGCUUCCUCCAGCAUUCAUAACACAAAUUGCUCAGUCCAUUCAAUCUCAGUUGGCCGACUUUCGCUCAUACGAGGGCCAGGACAUGUUUGCUGGAGAGAAAAUUGUGCCGAUUAAGCUUGAUAUGCGAGUGAAUCAUACUCUCGUAAGAGACCAGUUUUUGUGGGACUUGAACAAUUUUGAAAGUGAUCCUGAGGAGUUCGCUAGAACUUUUUGUAGAGAUAUGGAUAUUAAAGACCCAGAAGUCGGGCCAGCAAUUGCCUUUGCAAUUAGGGAACAACUGUAUGAGAUUGCUAUUCACAAUGUCACUUCAGCUAGAGAAACCAGAAUAAGCAAGAAGGGUCGCCGGGGUUUUGAAUAUGUUCCGGCCAGUAAAGCAGGUGGUAUCUCAUUGGACUUGGUUAAAUAUUUUGGACACAAAACGAGUGUCAUCCGUCCUUCAAAGCUCUUCAUCAGACUGUGCAUUGUCACCUGAUUUUGAAGCUAUCAAGGAGCUCUUCCAAUUUUAUCUGAGAUUAGGAAUGGCGAGUAAAUGGGCUUCUGGGUCUUGGAAACUAUCCAAAGUGCAUUUUGUGAUAUCGGUGUGAAGCGGCGACUAAAAAGCUCUGCUUUAACGGGUCUACUGCUGGCAAUUAUCUUUAUGGAAAAGAAAGGACUGGGACGCAUUUGAGCCCAUUGUCGAUAUACUCUCGAGCGAGGAAGUAGAUGCCCUUGAAGCAAGAGAAGGGAAGACUACUCGGUGAUGUGCAUUUGUGACAUUGUGUGUUUAUUAACCAAACGAAUGCAAGAUGAUGCAUUCGAGAGGCUAUCUGUUUAAUCUCGAGUAGAGAUUUCUGUCUGUUCAAUUCAAUGUGCAUAGGUUAGUUAGCCCAUUCUGUUGGCCAAGCUCAAAACUGGAUGAAGAUCAAAUCAGUGGAUGAAGAUCCAUUUAGACUAGCCAUUUCAUUGGCUUUGGACUUUUGAUCAUUUGGUCUUGCAAUUUUGGGCAGAGAGCCAAAUCUACAUUCGCAUUUAUUCA